rnacentral:rRNA from 1 species
AGAGUUUGAUCCUGGCUCAGAUUGAACGCUGGCGGCAUGCUUUACACAUGCAAGUCGAACGGCAGCACAGGGAGCUUGCUCCCGGGUGGCGAGUGGCGCACGGGUGAGUAAUACAUCGGAACGUGUCCUGUUGUGGGGGAUAACUGCUCGAAGGGUGGCUAAUACCGCAUGAGACCUGAGGGUGAAAGCGGGGGAUCGCAAGACCUCGCGCAAUUGGAGCGGCCGAUGCCCGAUUAGCUAGUUGGUGAGGUAAAGGCUCACCAAGGCGACGAUCGGUAGCUGGUCUGAGGAGGACGACCAGCCACACUGGGACUGAGACACGGCCCAGACCGUCCGUACGGGAGGCAA